rnacentral:rRNA from 1 species
GUUUAUCAAAAACAUGUCUUUUUGAAUUUAAUUUAAAGUCUAACCUGCCCACUGAAUUUUUAAAUGGCCGCAGUAUUUUAACUGUGCAAAGGUAGCAUAAUCAUUAGUCUUUUAAUUGAAGGCUGGAAUGAAUGGUUGAAUGAAAUAUUAACUGUUUCAUAUAAAUUUUAAAUAAAAUUUUAUUUUUUAGUUAAAAAGCUAAAAUUUUAUUAAAAGACGAGAAGACCCUAUAAAUCUUAAUAUUUUUUUUUAUAAUUUUUAUUUUGAUAAUUUAAAUUUUUAUAAUAAAAAAUAUUUUAUUGGGGUGAUAUUAAAAUUAAAAUAACUUUUAAUUAAUUAAUAACAAAAAUUAUUGAAUUAUUGAUCCAUUUAUAAUGAUUAAAAAAUUAAGUUACUUUAGGGAUAACAGCGUAAUUUUUUUAGAAAGUUCAUAUUAAUAAAAAAGUUUGCGACCUCGAUGUUGGAUUAAGAUAAAAUUUAGGUGAAGAA